rnacentral:rRNA from 1 species
AAUCAACGCUGGCGGCGUGCCUCAGACAUGCAAGUCGAACGAUUAAAGCUCUCUUCGGAGAGUGUAUAGAGUGGCGCACGGGUGAGUAACACGUAAGUAAUCUACCUUCGAGUGGGGAAUAACCCGGGGAAACCCGAGCUAAUACCGCAUAAUGCAGCGGCACCUAAUGGUGACAGUUGUUAAAGGAGUAAUUCGCUUGAAGAGGAGCUUGCGGCAGAUUAGCAGUUGGUAAGGUAAUGGCUUACCAAGGCUACGAUCUGUAACCGGUCUAAGAGGACGGUCGGUCACACUGACACUGAAUAACGGGUCAGACUCCUACGGGAGGCAGCAGUCGGGAAUUUUGGGCAAUGGGCGAAAGCCUGACCCAGCAACGCCGCGUGAAGGAUGAAGUAUUUCGGUAUGUAAACUUCGAAAGAAUGGGAAGAAUAAAUGACGGUACCAUUUAUAAGGUCCGGCUAACUACGUGCCAGCCGCCGCUGU